CAGUAGCCGCGGGAAUACGUAGGGUGCGAGCGUUAAUCGGAAUUACUGGGCGUAAAGCGUGCGCAGGCGGUUCGUUAAGACAGAUGUGAAAUCCCCGGGCUUAACCUGGGAACUGCAUUUGUGACUGGCGAGCUAGAGUAUGGCAGAGGGGGGUAGAAUUCCACGUGUAGCAGUGAGAUGCGUAGAGAUGUGGAGGAAUACCGAUGGCGAAGGCAGCCCCCUGGGCCAAUACUGACGCUCAUGCACGAAAGCGUGGGGAGCAAACAGGAUUAGAUACCCCCGUAGUCCCUGUCUCUUAUAC
rnacentral:rRNA from 1 species